CAAUGGGGUUGCCAUCAAGAAUUGCUUGCCAUUCAUGUUUUUCCUUGUUGUGUAAUAGGCCUCCCAACACACUUGCAGCCAACGGUAGACCUUGACACAUUUUAACAAUCUUGUUGCCCAUGCUUGCUAAUUCUUCUGGAACCCUGCCAUCAACAAAUGCUUUUUGUUUGAAAAUAGACCAACAAUGAUCUUCUGUUAGCUUUCCCAACAUAUGAAGAUCUGCUGCUACUGUGGAUGCCACUCUAUUCAUACGAGUAGUCACAAGAAUGCAGUUUCCUUUGGCUGUAUUUAUUCCUCUCAACGUGUCCACGAACUCAUGCCACGAUGUAGAGUCAACACACCACAAAUCAUCCAGGACUAGCAAAUAGUUUUUUCCUCCCAAUUUAUCUUGUAGCUUCUUGACUAUUAUAUCUCUCCUUUGAACCUCAACUUUCCUCUCUGUCAAUGAUUCAAGGAUUUGUUCAAGAAAGCUCUUUGUUUCAGGCAUUUCAGGUAGACACAACCAAAUUCUCUUUUCAAAGAUUUGCUUGAUGUGUUCAUCAUUGUAAAUCCUCUUAGCCACAGUUGUUUUCCCUAAACC